CUUUACCACCAGCCUUUGGAAUUCCAGUCCACCAUGAAGACAAAAGAACAACAGAGAAAGUAAGGAACCACACAGUCAUCCAAAAUGGAGUUUGCACCAGACAGUCACUUGUCAUGUGCUUCAGCAUCAAACAGAAUUCAUAAGCAACAAAGUCCCCACAUCACCACAGAGGGAACUUACCCUGAUGUGCAAGCCCAGAAAUUGUUAUGUUUGUUUCCUCAAAGGUCAUUUAAAGCAAUCUGUAACAUAAGGGAGUGGUUUUGAGUUAUCCUGGCUCUGAAAGUUAUUGUAGCUUGAUGGAAAUUCAAGAGGUGGAGCAUUCCCCUGCUGCUAUGUCUGCUUCUGCAAGCAAGCUGAGUUACUUGCCAUAACACAACUGUGGAUUUUUUUGCUCAAAGAAAGGAUGUUUUCAGCUGCCCGCCUCUGCCUGUUAACCUUCAGCAUGCUUUUGCAUAGUACAUGUGCAUCUGGUAUCACACUCCACACCCAUGCAGCCUCACCUCAGCACCAAGGACCCUCACCGGUACAGCCACCUGGAAGGUGUGUGCAGUUCCGGAGGAAGACAACAGCUUGUCCAUGGGCUUCAGAUUGGGCAUCAGA